rnacentral:rRNA from 1 species
AGUGAACGCUGGCGGUAGGCCUAACACAUGCAAGUCGAACGGCAGCACAGUAAGAGCUUGCUCUUACGGGUGGCGAGUGGCGGACGGGUGAGGAAUACAUCGGAAUCUACUUUUUCGUGGGGGAUAACGUAGGGAAACUUACGCUAAUACCGCAUACGACCUACGGGUGAAAGCAGGGGAUCUUCGGACCUUGCGCGAUUGAAUGAGCCGAUGUCGGAUUAGCUAGUUGGCGGGGUAAAGGCCCACCAAGGCGACGAUCCGUAGCUGGUCUGAGAGCAUGGUCAGCUACACGGUAAGUGAGACACGGUACAGACUCUUACGGGAGGAAGCAGUGGGGAAUAUUGGACAAGGGGCGAAAGCCUGAUACAGCCAUACCGGGUGAGUGAAGAAGGCCUUCGGGUUGUAAAGCCCUUUUGUUGGGAAAGAAAAGCAGCAGGUUAAUACCCCGCUGUUCUGACGGUACCCAAAGAAUAAGCACCGGCUAACUUCGUG